rnacentral:lncRNA from 1 species
GCUGGGAAUAAAGCAGAUCUGGUAGAGUGAAGGAAAGUGGCAGCAGAGUUGAUUAAACUGAAAGGACAUAUACAAAAAGCUGGAUAAACUUCCAGGCUGAAGAUGGUAAAAGACUUUGGAGGCACAAGCAAAUACACUAAAGUAAUUGGUACGUGAAGUAGAACGAGGAAGAUCCUUGUAAAAGUUUGAACCCUAUGUAGU